UACGUAGGGUGCAAGCGUUAAUCGGAAUUACUGGGCGUAAAGCGUGCGCAGGCGGUUAUGUAAGACAGAUGUGAAAUGCCCGGGCUUAACCUGGGAACUGCAUUUGUGACUGCAUGGCUAGAGUUUGGCAGAGGGGGUAGAAUUCCACGUGUAGCAGUGAAAUGCGUAGAUAUGUGGGGGAACACCGAUGGCGAAGGCAGCCCCCUGGGUCAAGACUGACGCUCAUGCACGAAAGCGUGGGGAGCAAACAGG
rnacentral:rRNA from 1 species